rnacentral:lncRNA from 1 species
GCUAAUUGGCAUUCACGUCACAGAAAAUACUGAUACUCAAUUCUGUAUGCUUUAUUUCAACAAAGAGAAAAGAACUCAUGACAAAAUAGAUAUCAGAAGAUGUGAUAUGAGUGUCAAUGAGACAACUCUCCAUCAAAGUCACAAUUUGUAAAAGAAAAACCAUUAUGUAUAGGUCAAAGAACUGUCUUCAACACGGAGACUAGCUUUUCUCACAUCG